AGCAAUUUAUUGACACAGCAUAAAAGGAAACAUCAACAGCUUAAAUCUUUUCUUUUUAGGUGAGUUCAACCUCAAUAGUUUUGUCUUCUCUUUAGGAAACGAACGAUGCAGAUGAAUGCAUCAGUUACAAUAGGAAUUAUUAUGCGUGUUUAUUAUUGUUUAGGAAGUUAUGUGAAAGUUUUUGUUUGAAAAUGUCCAGAAUUCCAAGAGGGUGGGUGGGUGCUGCUGCGCUGAGGGCUGUGGGCCCAAUUUAUAGCGAUAAUGGCAUCUUCUUGCAGAUCCACUGCUGUCUUUCGGAGCAUUCAACCGCCUUCAGCUUUUCUUUGGUCACAGAGAUGGCGCAAAGUCCGUUGCAGACUUGACACUGCGGUAUCCAGGACCUGAGGGUGCAGCACAAGCAAAGGUCACACAAACGGGGACUUUGGGCUUGGUUGACAUGCUUGAGGGAGCUUCUGUUUGUUUGUCUGUUUGUUUGUUUGUUUGUUUAAACUUGGGCAGUGGUGGGAAGUAACCAGGAAUCUGUACUUUACUUGAGUCUUUAUUUUACUGACACUCGAACGCAGAUAUUGCAAGCUGUCGAUUCUAUUAGCAAAGCUAUAAUGUAUAUAAACAUAGUAGCUGAAUUGAAAAUGAAAAGAAGAAGGUCAGCAGAAUACUGUAAAUUUAAUUUUGAGGGAAAAAAAAUGUUUCCCUGCAUUUUCAAGUAAAUUUACACCCACAACAACAGUGUUUAAAAAUGAAUUUAAAAGGAUGUUUUCAAAUCUUAAAAAAAAAAAAAGAUUGAAAUGUAAAUAUAUUUUAAAUAAUUGGAAAUUGUAAAUAUGUAAUGUACUGCCCUGCAGUUCGGCUAUUGGAGCCUGAGGGGCGCUUCUCGGUCCUCUCUCUCCGUCCUCUCUCUCUCUCUCUCUCUCUCUCUCUCUCUCUCUCUCUCUCUCUCUCUCUCUCUCGCUCUCUCUCCCCCCUCCCUGCCCCCCCUGUUUUCAGCACCUGUCUUCAGUCAGCCUCAUCACCACCGGUGUAUAUAAGCCUGCCUGUUCCCGGAAAUCCUCGCCUAAGUAUUGCAGCCUCUCCGAGCGUGCUCCCCUGUGUUCCUGACCCACGUCAAUCCUGCUACCAAGCCGCCUGUUCUGUCCGCCGCCUGCCAACACAUCCAGGACCACCUCCAUAACCUUUCCUCAAUAAAUUGUUCAUUAUGCAUCUGCCUAUACAUCAAAAGGAAAAAUAAG